GGGCUUGCGGCGUCGCUGGGGCGGCUACAAUGGGCGCUCUGUGUGCGGCGGCGAGGGGGCUCGGAAGGAAGGAAGGAAGGAAGGAAGGAGAAAGAGAGAGAGAUGGGUGGGAAGGAAGGAAGGAAGGAAGACUCACACCCCCACUCGAGGGCGCGCGCGCGCUUUUCCUGCUACCAGCAGCACCCCAGAAACACCUCGCCACUGCCAGAGCCCCCUGGAGGUGACCACUCUGGCGGGCCCAAGGGAGCUUUAGCCCCACACCUCCGCCAGCGCGCCUUUCACUGACAAGAAGGAAGCGGGAAUUAGCAGGGGAAAGCCCCAGAAGCAGGUAAGUGUUGCAUGCAGAGGAGCCGCAGAUGGAGCCGCAGGAAGCGGUCCUCAGUUGCAACGACCAGAACUUGUGAGAGCAAAUAAAAAAGAAAAAGAAAAAAAGAGGGGAGGGAGGGAGGAGGGGCUUGCUUUCCUUGUCCCCACCCUUAUUUCUUAGAUCGAGAAGCCUUUUCUCUUGGGGGAGGGGGAGCUUUUUGCAGCCACGCGAAGGAUCCGUUUUAAGAUCCACUGCACACCGGAAGGCGUGUGCGUGCUCUUUUCUUCCCUAGAUAUUUCGCACACCACGUAUCAAUUAAAUUUGCGCACAAACCUAUUCUCUUUCCUUCCCCCUCCCCCAACUCCUCCUGCCUUUUCUCAUUUCUCAGUAAAGCACUAUCUGUAUUCUGCUAGUGUUCAACCUGCUCCUACUUCUCCCUCUCUCUGUGUGUGUCGUUUUUCUUUAGUUAGUUCAAUUUUGACAAUAGUUUUCUGCGCAGCUGGAUUUCCGCUGGGUGCAGAUGUUGCUAAUGGCAGCUUAAGCACGGAUGGGCAGAUAACAUAUGGAAUGCAACAUGUUGCCAUAUGGUCCCUUUAGCCUUUCACCUCCAACAAUAUCAAUCAAAUAUAUUCUGGGAGGAAAUUUAAUGACUCUGAACAAGAAGAUAAAUUGCUUGGUACAAUUUAUAUUCCUUGACCUGAGACUUUAUAAGACAGUAAGCAGAUCUUGCAGGCUGUCUAGUAAGGAUGUGAACUGAGAUGCAGGAAGACUCCAAAUGCUGAAAACAUCUCUUAUUUGUCAGCUGGGAUCCUGUGAACUACCAGAUAUGUCACAUGGCCUACUCUUCCGUAGUAUAAAUUGACAGUACAAAGAAUAACUAUGUUAAAUGUAACUUUCUAUACAAUAUUAUUGCCAUCCUGUUCUGUGUAUUUCUUUCCAUGUACAGUUUUCUGGAAAGGGGAAAGAGCAGAAAGAAUAGUAGUAAAGAACAAGAGCAGGAUAUAAAGAAAUGGAAUAGAUAGCAAAUCUUUUGUGUUUUCAUUUAGAGCUACUUUUAAAGGGUGUUUUUAAAAAUAAAAAAAUACAUAUAUCUUUUGUUUAAGAAGGACAAAUAUGCUUAUCUCAUCUAAUCAUACAAAUUUAACUUUACAGAAAGGGUCUAACUGUCCUCAUAGAAGUAUAAAAAGUAUGUAAUCUAUAGACUUUAGUGAGCCAGACUUGUUCAUUAGCAAAUAUAUCUCAGCCUAUUAAGUAUGUUAAGCCUUUCCAAAACUUUUCUUGUCAGUGAUGAUAUCCGUACUCAGAGUAAACCCAUCAAAAUCAAUCGACUUAAGUAAAUUGUUGAUUGAUUCUCAUUAGUUUACUCUUACUUAUUCAGAUAUUGCCUAGUGUUUAUAGGAUAACAUUCCUUAGAAUCCUAUUGCCUUGGACAGUAUUCCUAACAUAUCUGUUUUUUGUUGCCCUUGUCUGCCACAGCUUCUAUGCACUGACGUACAAUGAGAAGAAAAAUACUAUUCAGUCUUGAAAUAAAGGUUUUGCAGAGCUCAAAGUCUGAGUUGCAUGGCUGUACUCAGUCAGGUUGUCAAGCUUGCCGGGGCAAUAUACUACCCAAAGCUGCAAUUGAUUGCAAUUUUUGUCUCUGACAGACUGUAUAAGAGAGAGAAGAAGAAUAUUUUAGGAGUAACAGCAUUUAUAAUUAUUCUUAUGUUGCUGCACAUUUCCUUCCAUUUAUAUUUUCAACGCAGACAGUUCCUGCCCCAACAUAUAGCAAUGAAAUAGUUGUUUACAUUCUUUUCCACGUGGUAAUUUAUUACAAGGAAUAGUAUAAAAGUUGUUCAACGUUGUAUUAUUUUAGACUUAGCCAAACAGGAUAUUCAUGCUUACUGCGAUACAUGUCUGCAAUCAGUAUCCAGUAUGUUUGGAGAAUCAUAGAUGCUGAAUUCUGCUGGUAUGGUCUUAAUAAGGAAGGGAAAGUCAUUUUCAUUUUCAAAGUCCGCUAUAUGACUUCAAUAGGAGAGUGGAUGAAGUUGUCCUGUUAGUUUGCAAUCAAGUGUUCUUUUGGACUAUUACAUAUUCAGGUUUGUGGGAACUGCCCCACUCAACUACAGUCACUCAAAGUCUGAUUGCAAUGCCUACAUAAUGAACUAUGCAAAUAAUUAUUUCACACCUACAGGUGUAAAAAAAUGGACGUAGUAAUGCCUGUCCUGCUAAAAAUAGCAAUAUAGAUCUGGUUUUAGAAGCACAUAAUCUGUUCACAUGAACACUUGUAUCAACAUCUUUAAACAUUAUUUCCCUAUUUGCUCCAUAAGAGUUUAAGGCCCAGUCCAUGUGUAACUACAGCCUGAUGGCUUCUUCUCCAUUGCAAAAUGCCCUCAGGAGGAAACUGUGCAGCAGAGGAGGGCUUGGAACCCCUCCCCCUCCAGCCUUCUCUAGUGAGGAUGCUUUGCAAUGGAGAAGAAGCCACUGGGCUCACAUUGCACAUGGUUGCAGUUUAAUAUGCAGUUUAGUGGAGAAACCCCUUUGGGUAAAUAUCUACAACUGAAUUGGAGCCAAAAAAGCCUUUUGAAGAGCUCUGAUGUCAUGUAUACAAACAAUGCAGGAUUAUUUGUCUCAAAAGCCCUACUUACCUUUCAUGAUCAUAGUUGUGCAGUCCUGACAUAGAUAAAGAAUUUUGUUAAUGAGAAGUUUUUCUUUAAAUAAGAAUAAGAUUGGCUUGGCUGCGGAACCAGUCAUUUAAAGGAACAGAAAACCAUUAUUGGUUGGAAGCAUCCUAACAAGCUGAAGAGGAAACUGCUCUUAGUGAAACAUCAGAAAAAAAUAGUUAUGAUUUUAAUAUGGACCUUCCAAAACAGAUCUUCAGUUGGCCCAGGAAAUUUCAUCAUUCAUGGUUUUUAUCUGCUAAACUGUCAGACAGGAAUGCUGAUGACACCAUUGCUUAUGUCUUUCAUCCUGAAGGGAAGCAGAGCAAACCAGAAAGAAUCUGAACGUUGCAUAUUGUGGAUUCUAAAUGCACAGGUUCACCCGUAAGUCUUACUCUGAUUUCAUUACAACCACAGCUGCUGUCUUCCUGAUAUAUUAAUAUUUCAGCAUUCCUGCUUUUCAUGUUGAUAUAUUAGCUAUCUUAAUAAGUGAUUGCAUUUGUGAAAGAUGCUAAUGUUGUAGUGUUCUCUGCCUCCUCCCAACAGAACAGAAUAUAUUUGCAUGUAGUUUUUACUUCUAAAGUUGUUCUAAAACAUCAUUCCACAUAUGACCUGUAAGGUUACAAGUGCUUAGGCAAUCUCUCUCCCUUAUAGAAUUAUUGGAUUUUUAGUGGGGGAAAGUUAUGGACUACGGCACAAAAUGUGAAAGUACAACAGAUGGCUGAUAUUUUUAAUUGUGUCCUGUGUUCCAGUAUUUAGAUACCAAAAUGUAGCAUUUUGCUGCAUCUAUAAAACUGUUUGCAUUUAUUUGACAUAGGCUUCUUUUUGAGCAUGGAGCCAUGAAUGUUUGUUCUCCCUCUCUUUUUUUUUCACAUCAUUACUCUGAUACUGCUUGAUUAGCUCCCUCCCCAGUCAUGAUUGGUAAUUAAAAUAGGCAUUAAAAUUAGUCACUUAGCAAUUUUGCUGUUCAAUUGGCAAUUAAAUUACUUAAUUGCAAUUAAAGUCCUAAUUUUAAUUGGCAAAAUGAUAGAUGUAGAUUUAAGAUAAUAUGUAUAAAUACUUUAAUAAGUGUCUAUAUAAGGAUUACUUAAUUACCCAACUUCAAGUUUAUGUUGUUAACUUCAGAACUUUAAAAUGAGCAAUGAAAUUUUAUAUUAUAUCUAUUCUAAAGAUGUGGUAAUUAGUAUGUGACUUAUCACUAUAAGGGCCCAGCUAUAAGUAAGUUCUAAAAUGUACAAGAAGGGCAUAGGAUAGCCUAUGUAACAAGCAUCAAGGCACAGGUAUGCCUUUUGCUUGGAAGUGCCAUUUAAUCAGUAGCGCUUACGUAUUAGUAAUUAUGUUUAGGAUGUAGGGGUUACACAAAAUCUAGUAAAUUUCUCAUUGGCAAGAGAGGUGGGAUUACUGAAACACAGAGCAUUCCUCUCCCAAAUAAUUUAUAUAAUGCAUCAAUAAUUUGAGAUAUUUUAGUAGCUGCCUUUUUGUUGGUGUUCAGCUUUGAUGUGCUACUGAGACCCAGGCACCAGAAAAAAAUGCAGUUGAGUUCUAAAAGCAAACCCUGCAAAUGCACCAUGUCCUGGAGUGUUUGGAUACAAAACAGGAUAUGGUGCUCUUCAUUUUAAGUAGUGCAGAAUUAGGAACUUGGCAGAUGCCUCAUUUUCUGCAGGGGUAAAGGGAGGGGGGUAACUUAAUGAAUUUCUCUUUUAUACAUAACUAUUAAAGACGCAGGAGCUUUUUCUGCAUUUUCAUCCAUCACACACAACUUCCUUCUGAAGACUUGCUUUUAUCAGUCUCACUUUAUGCUUCUCACAAAUAAAGCUUUAGAUAAAAUAUUGGAAAGAAAAAGCCAUCAUAAUUUGAAAAUAUAGCUUUGUCAGUAACAAGAACUAGAGUUUUUGGGUUUUGGUUGGAUUUUCUUUUUUAGAGUCAAGUAGCACCAAAUCUAACAUUCGCCAAUGGUGUUGUUAACUCUGUAUCUCAUGUAUUUCUGCUUCAUGGAAAUUCUGCUUUUUCAUAAUCUGCCCCCGGGGCGAAGCAUAAUUUGUAAUGCGGUAUUAGCAGCUAAUGCAGAUCAGGUAAUGUGUAUCAACUGUACCCCAUAAAAAUCUUUCCAUAAAGCAUAAUAGAGUGUAUUGUUUGUUUGUUUGUUUGUUUGUUUGUUUGUGUUGAAUGAUUCAAAAUAAAACAUGUAUUAC